GAUCUCACAAGAUAUUGAAUUUACUGGCUAGAGAAGCGCCGCAGACUAGAGAAUACAGAAAAAUUUGCUGAGAAAGCAGAAGAAGAGAAUGUUUGGCGCAGAGCACUGCCAUGAUUUGUGCAGAAUUCCCAUUGCAGGAGCAGCCUGACACAAUGGAAGCACUUUUUACUUCAGAUUUUACUGCCACCACCUGACUGACAAAUCUAAGGCCCCCAGGCGAUGAGCACUGACCAUGACAGCAGCACAAGCUUCAGUGAGCCCAUUCCACACUGCCUUCCAGGAAGAACACCAGAAUCCAGGCCAGAUGUCUUCUCCAGCCCCUCCCUGCAUCUAAAUGGGAAAUGUUCACUGCGGCAUCCUAGAAAAGCCAGUCUGCUGACCAGCCAAGCAUGAGGGAUGGGGAAAACAAGGGCUUGAAGAAAUGUGAGCAAAACCACAAUAAAUGUAAGUUUAAACAGGAAAAAUGGCUGGAAAGACAAUGCACCUGCACCCCUGCAACUCUUUUUUUUUUUUUUUUUCCAAAAUGGAGAGGAAACUGGGGUGGUGGUGUUCACAAGAAAUUUUGUUGGUCAGUCCUUAUUUUUUUUAAUAAUUGAGAAAAGUUGUUAACAAAAAUAGAAAGAAAAAGCACAAGACUCAUGAAUUAGAAUGUUUUCUAGCUGUCUGUCUUUCCCUAAAACGUAGGCUACACUUGGAUGGUAGUUUAGGGGCUGUCUUAUGCAAAAGGCAUUAAUUUGGCUAACGUACUUGAAUAACUAAUGGCCAGAUGCAAAGCCCAGUGAAGCCAGCGGGAAGUUUUCCACUGGCUUCUUUAGACUUUGGAUGACUCUUAACUAUAUAGGAGAAAUAACAUGCAAGAGUAAUCAACAUUUGCCCCUUCUUGGAAACGCAUCAGCCCAAAGGGGCUGUGGUCAUGUAUUUGUUAUUGCAUCUGACUCUGACACCCUAUAAGGAAAGCGCAGAUCAUCAGAACGCGAUGCAGCAACAUUUGAGAUCUUGGACGUAGAAUUGUUUAUUGAACAAUGACAGACUGCAGCACAUCGCUUUUAAUAAUGAUAAGGAAAGGUUUAUGCAAGCACACAUCUGCACUUGGCUGGGUACAGAGCGCGUUAAUAAUGUCAUGUUCCUGAUUAGCUAUAAAU